rnacentral:rRNA from 1 species
CCUACGGGAGGCAGCAGUGAGGAAUAUUGGUCAAUGGGCGCAAGCCUGAACCAGCCGUCCCGCGUGCAGGAUGACGGCCCUAUGGGUUGUAAACUGCUUUUGUAUGGGAGCAAUAAGAUCUACGUGUAGAUUGAUGAGAGUACCAUACGAAUAAGCACCGGCUAACUCCGUGCCAGC